GGCAAAGCGAUGACGAGGAGCAGUAGGCAGUGCAACCCUGCAGAGAGCCGCCGGGAGGUGCAAGGCGGCGGGCCAUGCUGCUGAAACUCGCCUCUGAGUUGCCCGGGGGAAAUGUUAUUACUCCGGGCCGGGCGCGCCGUUAUUGCGUGAAGAGGGUAAAGAGAUGGGGCUGUGGCGCAGUGGGAGCGCGCUUCCUUGGCAUGGAAGAGGCCGCGGGUUCAAUCCCCGCCAGCUCCACCAGGAAUGUUUUUUCUUUGCCAAAAAGGGUGGUACCGCGGGAGAUAGCCUCUCGUCCCUACA
rnacentral:sRNA from 1 species